GACAGAGGGUGCGAACGUUGCUCGGAAUCAUUGGGCGUAAAGCGCGUGUAGGCGGCAUCGCACGUCGGGUGUGAAAGCCCGGGGCUCAACCCCGGCAGUGCACCCGAAACGACGAUGCUAGAGUGCUGGAGAGGCGGGUGGAAUUCCUGGUGUAGAGGUGAAAUUCGUAGAUAUCAGGAGGAACACCGGUGGCGAAGGCGACCCGCUGGCCAGCGACUGACGCUGAGACGCGAAAGCGUGGGGAGCAAACAGG
rnacentral:rRNA from 1 species